AGUGAACGCUGGCGGCAGGCCUAACACAUGCAAGUCGAGCGGCAGCGGGUCCUUCGGGAUGCCGGCGAGCGGCGGACGGGUGAGGAAUGCAUCGGAAUCUGCCCUGUCGUGGGGGAUAACCUAGGGAAACUUAGGCUAAUACCGCAUACGACCCACGGGUGAAAGCGGGGGAUCGCAAGACCUCGCGCGAUAGGAUGAGCCGAUGUCCGAUUAGCUAGUUGGCGGGGUAAAGGCCCACCAAGGCGACGAUCGGUAGCUGGUCUGAGAGGAUGAUCAGCCACACUGGGACUGAGACACGGCCCAGACUCCUACGGGAGGCAGCAGUGGGGAAUAUUGGACAAUGGGCGCAAGCCUGAUCCAGCCAUGCCGCGUGGGUGAAGAAGGCCUUCGGGUUGUAAAGCCCUUUUGUCCGGGAAGAAAUCGUCUGGGCUAAUACCCCGGGCGGAUGACGGUACCGGAAGAAUAGGCACCGGCUAACUUCGUG
rnacentral:rRNA from 1 species